AUGUCUUCUAAUUGUGGUGAGUUUUCUCAUGAAUACUAUGUGAUACAUGAUUUAUUGCAUGAUCUAGGACGUACCGUUUCCAACAAGGAAUGUAUCAGAAUUUCCAGCGAUGAUUAUGGUAGUAUUCCAAGAACAGUUCGCCAUGCAAUACUUACCGUGGUAAAUCAUACAUCGUUUACGGAUUUCUCUGCACUAAAGAAACUGCUUAUAUCAUUUGAUGAAACAAUAAUGAAAAGGGAUCAAUGGAUUGUACUGGAAAAAGUGCUAAAAGUAGCAACAAAAUUACGGGUUUUGCGUGUACACAGGUCCUCGCUUUUCAAGCUGCCUGAUGCCUUUGGUAAUCUAACGCUGUAUCAUUCGGAACUGCAUAAGGAAGUGGCAAAAUAUUCAUUUUGGUGUCCUUGCUCUAUAUACAAGUUAUAUCAUCUCCAAAGGGUAGAGUUAAAUAAAUGUUUGUUGGUAUCCUGUAGACUGCAAAAAUUGGUGAAUCUGAGAUAUCUAUUCUUUUCGGGUUAUCUAAUUGGAUUUCCGCCUAACUUUGGACACUUAACUUCUCUUCAAGAGUUAAAUGUUAUUUGUGUCCCACCCCGCUAUGGUUUCCUGGCACGUGAGCUUGAGGAUCUAAAAGGUCUCCGCAUUUAUAUGCUAGUGGGCUUGAGAAUGUCAGUGCACAAGAAGGAACUACUGCUAAGCUGGGUUCUCCGGCUGGCGGCUGAGGUGUGGCUAGGCAGUGCGGCUGUGGUGCGGGCUGCGUUUGGGUUCGGCCCGGCAGCUCGUCCAGGAGGGAUUCGGGACGGGGUGGCAGCCCUCCCCCCCGGCUCCGGUGUUGCAGCGAGGAUCUGCGGCUUCGUGGCAAUACAACGCAAGGUGGGUGCCAGAUCUGCGGUUGCCGGGGCGGUGGCCCUGGAUUUGGUGGUGGCGGCUUCGGCCAGGGGGUGGUGCGUGCCUGGACGUGGCGGAUCGGGGGAUCCUGCGGCCAGUUGGAGUCAGACGGCGUGCCUUGGUGCUCUACGAGGUUUGGUGGGCGGCAGUUUGUGGCCGGCCGGUUCGGGCAGUUGGUGGACGAGCUUCACCGGGAGAAAUCCUAUCUCCGGCCUUUGCCGGAUGCGGCGGCGGUGA
rnacentral:rRNA from 1 species